rnacentral:rRNA from 1 species
GACCAGACUCCUACGGGAGGCAGCAGUGGGGAAUAUUGCGCAAUGGGCGAAAGCCUGACGCAGCGACGCCGCGUGAGGGAUGAAGGUCUUCGGAUCGUAAACCUCUGUCAGCAGGGAAGAACGGUCACUGUGCUAAUCAGCAGUGAAUUGACGGUACCUGCAAAGGAAGCCCCGGCUAACUGCGUGCCAGCAGCCGCGGUAAUACGUAGGGGGCAAGCGUUAUCCGGAUUUACUGGGUGUAAAGGGAGCGUAGACGGCAGUGCAAGUCUGAAGUGAAAGCCCCGGGCUUAACCCGGGAAUUGCUUUGGAAACUGUACGGCUGGAGUGCUGGAGAGGUAAGCGGAAUUCCUAGUGUAGCGGUGAAAUGCGUAGAUAUUAGGAGGAACACCAGUGGCGAAGGCGGCUUACUGGACAGUAACUGACGUUGAGGCUCGAAAGCGUGGGGAGCAAACAGGAUUAGAUACCCCCGUG